rnacentral:lncRNA from 1 species
CAAAACUCUUGCAGCCUUACUUUGCGAACAGAGUCAAAUUAUUCCAUUUCAGUAAUGCCUCCACGAGCUUUCUACCUCGUGUUCCCCGAUUAAUGUACAGCAGCUGUGAACUCUGCAGAAGGGAGGCUGUGCCAUCAUUAGGGCUUAACUGGCUGUGAUCUGGGUCCUGUAAGAGAUGGUCUGUGUCCUGGCUUGCUCCAAACUGUGAAAAACUAUACUGCAGUGCUGCAAAUUGUCUGGUCCUUGCAGCUCCUACCUGAAUUGGGAUUUUGUAUGAGGACUGCCCAACGCUUUGCAUGUUGAUGCCUUUGAAGAGUGCAAGCUACUGAAAAGCAGCAGUAUAUCAAAAAUAGCAAGGCCAAAAACAGUUCGGCUACUUAAAAAAUGCCACGAGAGAUUAGCACAGUAUACUUAGACACAAACCAUAUGCAGUCAAGAAAGAAACAGGACAAAUCAAAACAGUUUUAGCAGGUGAGCAGCAACGAUGGGAGGCAAUUCCAUACAGCCUCUUACCCAGGAAGACUGCGCUCUUUUAUGGAGAUAGUCCUUGUUUGAUGGGUUUCUCAAACUGAAGCGCAGGUCACACUGACUUCGAGUGUGCAGGAGGUCCCUGUUUAUGGAUGAUCCAG